CUUGUUGAUGUAGCUUAAUGGUA
rnacentral:piRNA from 1 species